ensembl:snoRNA
CGCAGCUAUGUCAAAUUCAGUGCCCGCCCAUGCUAUGGCUGGCACUGGCCCAAAAGGCUGCCACAGAAACACUGUGAUCCAUGGGCCUUGAUCCCAACCUUGCUGGGCCUCAGGGAUACAUUUGGUCACAGACACCU